rnacentral:rRNA from 1 species
UACGUAGGGUGCGAGCGUUAAUCGGAAUUACUGGGCGUAAAGCGUGCGUAGGCGGUUCGUUAAGUUCGUUGUGAAAGCCCCGGGCUCAACCUGGGAAUGGCAAUGGAAACUGGCGGGCUGGAGUAUGGCAGAGGGGGGUGGGAAUUCCACGUGUAGCAGUGAAAUGCGUAGAGAUGUGGAGGAACACCGAUGGCGAAGGCAGCCCCCUGGGCUAACACUGACGCUCAGGCACGAAAGCGUGGGGAGCAAACAGG